GCGGUAAUUCCAGCUCUGUAAGCGUAUACCAAAGUUGUUGCAGUUAAAACGCUCGUAGUCGGACGUUGGCGGGCGCCGCAAGUCGGCCUCACGGUUGUUCUUGCAGCGGCCGCCUUUGUGGAUGGGGGCUCCAUUGGUACUUCAUUGAAUCAGGGAGUCGCUGCCACCGUUUACUGUGAAAAAAUUAGAGUGUUCAAAGCGGGCGUUUGCCAUGAAUACAUUAGCAUGGAAUAAUAGAAUAGGACCUGGUCCUGUUUUGUUGGUUUGUUUGUAUCAGGUAAUGAUUAAGAGGGACGGUUGGGGGCAUUUGUAUUCCGACGUUAGAGGUGAAAUUCUCGGAUU
rnacentral:rRNA from 1 species